rnacentral:rRNA from 1 species
GGUAGUCCACGCCGUAAACGAUGCAUACUAGACGUAUGGGGUAUCGACCCCCUGUGCGUCGCAGCUAACGCGAUAAGUAUGCCGCCUGGGAAGUACGGCCGCAAGGCUAAAACUCAAAGGAAUUGACGGGGACCCGCACAAGCAGAGGAGGAUGUGGUUUAAUAUGACGCUACGCGUAGAACCUUACCGAGGCUUGACAUCUUAGGAACCCACUGGAAACAGAGGGGUGCCUUCGGGAGCCUAAUGACAGGUGCUGCAUGGCCGUCGUCAGCUCGUGUCGUGAGAUGUUGGGUUAAG